GUGCACGUAACUUUCUCGCAUUAAGUUGCAAGGGGAGGGGAAUGGGUCCCCUCCGGUUGCGGGGCACGGAAGG
rnacentral:sRNA from 12 species